rnacentral:misc_RNA from 1 species
UAAUAUGACACGUCUGGGACAUGCUAUAGCUAACGGAAAAUUUCAGAGACAGUUGGUGAGGUGUGACAACUGAUUUUCUAGCUUUAGUGCUCCCCAUUCGGAUAAUUUGAUAUUUAACCUUGGGUAACCAAGAAGUAAAGAGGUAAACGAAUUCCAUCGUUGCAAGCAGAGUGGUACCGCGUCAAUCCGGCGUCUCUGAU